AUAGGCGAAAGCCUGACAGGGUUACUCUGAGUGAUUUCCGUUAAGGAGAUCUUUUGGCACCUCUAAAAAUGGUGCAGAAUAAGGGGUGGGCAAGUCUGGUGUCAGCCGCCGCGGUAAUACCAGCACCCCGAGUGGUCGGGACGUUUAUUGGGCCUAAAGCAUCCGUAGCCGGUUCUACAAGUCUUCCGUUAAAUCCACCUGCUUAACAGAUGGGCUGCGGAAGAUACUAUAGAGCUAGGAGGCGGGAGAGGCAAGCGGUACUCGAUGGGUAGGGGUAAAAUCCGUUGAUCCAUUGAAGACCACCAGUGGCGAAGGCGGCUUGCCAGAACGCGCUCGACGGUGAGGGAUGAAAGCUGGGGGAGCAAACCGGAUUAGAUACCCCCGUAGUCC
rnacentral:rRNA from 1 species